rnacentral:lncRNA from 1 species
GAUUGCUUAGAAACUAGCGGUUAAAGAUGGAGUCUAGGGAACAGUCGAGAGUCACGCAAAUGUUAGAGGUGCCCUUGGCCUCAUGAGUGGUCGGUAGAAGGCGGCUGCAAGGAGCCUUUGAAAUGGUGCCGAGUUCUUCCUCUGCCAGAAAGCCUUUCCUCCGCGCUGACUGUGUCAAAGGCUACUCCCAGAUCUGUGGAAAGCUGAAUAAAUGAACAGGGCCAUUUGACAGAGUGUAACCCACACCAGACCUGUUGUGCAAUGCCUUGAACAUUCACAGGGAGAUCAAGUAUUUUGCCCAAGAGCACACAGCUAGAGAGUGGAGAAGUCCGGAUUCAACCCAGACAGAUUGACUCCAGAGCGUGUGCUAUUCGUGGCUAUGCCAGAAUGCCCUGAUGGCCUCAGGUUUGCCUUGCCAACUGACAAAGGCGACUGUUUCCUACCCAUUGGCUCAGAUGGUUCCAGCUUCCUACCCUUCCAGUUAAAAUAAACAAAAACGAGGGUCUUGAGUGUCUAUGAUUUUCAUAAGAUCUAUGGCGUUUCUUCUGCAGAUGAUCAACAGUUGCCUGCCUUGGACUUUGGAGUUCCCAAGAACUAGAAAAUCCAGGUCAGGAACUGUAUCUUUGCUCAGCCACCUGCAAACAGACUUGAGAACAAUGUAAACCACCCUCUGCAGGAUAUUGAUUCUGAUGGAGUAAAUGUUGAUUAAGCAGAAUGGUGUUUUUUUUUUUAACUGGAGGAAUUCCAGAUCUUUCCUUAGGCCUGUCUCUCCAGGGAAAUGAGCUCUAGCCUUAAAAAUCUACAGAAAACCUGAGUAAGAAUGAAGAUUUAUGAUGGGAGACGCUGGGCGGAAGACGGCUGGCUAUCUGGUGGGCUAUCUAGAAGCUCAUCUUUGUGUUAUUAGAGAAACACUCCCGCUCUUGACAGGAUAUGGUCUGCUUAUCACAUAAUCUUCUCAAGUUUCAUUCCCAUUCUGCUUACAAAUGCCCCAAAUAUAAAGAGAUGCAUUUCAUCAAGACAGCCUUUUAAGAGGCAGUUGAUCCCAGCUGUUGCCGUCUAUCUUAAACACCUACCUUUUCACCCUAGUGUGGAGUUUACAUGUCGAUAAGCGAUGUAAAAAAGGGAACUUGAGAAAUCUCAGCAGAGGAAAAACACCGAGC